UACGGGGGGGGCAAGCGUUGUUCGGAAUUACUGGGCGUAAAGGGCGCGUAGGCGGACAGUUAAGUCAGAGGUGAAAGCCCAGGGCUCAACCCUGGAAUUGCCUUUGAUACUGGCUGUCUUGAGUAUGGGAGAGGUGAGUGGAACUCCGAGUGUAGAGGUGAAAUUCGUAGAUAUUCGGAAGAACACCAGUGGCGAAGGCGACUCACUGGCCCAUUACUGACGCUGAGGCGCGAAAGCGUGGGGAGCAAACAGG
rnacentral:rRNA from 1 species